UGUCAUUGUGGAAUACGAGCUUUACAAACGGACGAAAGUCCCACCGACCGGAAAUAAUAUAAACGGUCGAUGCAGACAUCGCCCGGACGCAUAGUUCGUACAUCUUAUCAAUUACAUUCAAUGCAUUUGAUGCACAGUAGUUAACAAAGUGAGAAUAUCAAUACCUUCAGAUAAUUCAUAUCUCAUAAUUCAACUCAGUCCAUGUAAAAGUAGAGUAUUUUAUUCAGACAGUGUUAUUAGAUGUUCAUCAACUUCCAGGUGUUAAAAAAAAUAACUAAAAAUUUUAGUUUUGUGAUGAAGAGAUCAAAUCAGUUAUCAACAUUGAGUUAAUACUAAAAAGAUCCUCUUUACGAUUACGAACACUUAAAAAAGCUGAAUUUAAAUUUAAAUUGUUUGAAAUGAAAAAAAAAAUCGAAUGAAAAUAAUGAAUAAAUAUAAAUAAAUAUAAUAAAUAUAUUAUAAAAGUUGCAAAAUUCCGCUUACUAUACGAUUCAAUGCCAAAGUGAUAAGAAAAAGUAAUUCAUCGUAUUUCAGAAGAAGAAAAUAAAGGAUGAAUUCCACGAAAUUGAGGAAGUUGAGAAGCUCUUAGAAAUAACACGUUUUAAAUUUAAAAUUUAAAUGAUUAAACCUGUCGCUAUUUUUCAACUGCGAAAUGAUAACGGAAUUGUUAUGCUGUCUGGAUAAAUAUAAUCAAUCUUUGGCAAUCAAAUGGAAGACAAGGAUGUAAAGUUGACUAUAAGGAUUGUGAAGAAGCUUAGAAGCUUCUCGGGUGGCCGGUUUCGCCGGUUUCCGCGUUCCAGACCAACGCACGCCGGUUCUCGCGCAUGACCGAAGAGAACGUUCGUCAGGAUAACGGCCGGGGAUUCCCCAUGAACUUGUCGAUAGGCUAGUGUCCAAGCUGUUGAUUUGUGAAUCAACAGGUGUAAGGAAUUUUCUGAGGUGGUCCAGAGAGAGAACCGGAACUCGCAAGUGGGUCACUGUCAAACGGCGUCCUCGAGGCAUGCAAUCACGUUGCGAUUACGUUUAUUUGUUAAGUGAAAGAAAUUUUUUUAGGAAGUUACUCCGUAAAGAAAGGAUGCUAGAAAAAAAGCAGAAACAAUGAAUUUUCAUAAACAAGUAAGAGACGAGAGAUGUUUAAGUUCAACUAUUUGUUGAAUAAUUUAUUAUAAAGAUAAAUGUUUAAUGAAAAAGACAAAUUGAAUGUUAGUUUGAACUGAGCGCGACAAGAGACCUGUAAGAACUGAUGGGACUUGGAGGGGCCUGACGUGCCACUGCUGAGAUUCCACAGCUCUUUCCUCCUACUCGACCACUUACGGCAGCCGGUUGCGUGGCUCAAAGAGAGAGAGGAUCUCCUUCUCCGUCGGUCCUCGCGCCUCGCCCUACCGUUCAUACACCUCAUCAUCAUCAUUAUCAUCGUCAACCGGGUUGAAGAGUGUUGGCGACUUUGAUGACCAUUCAAUGACGUCAUCAAGCAUUUGUUUUUAUAACUCUGAAAUCAACUCGUCUCACCUCAAUUCACGAUUCUGAAACUAUUUGCAUUUUUCAUGGUUCUAUCAUCAUUGUUGUUACCAUUAUUACUAUCAUCAAUAACAUUGAAUGAAGUAUAUUUGUCAUCUAUUGGUUGACGUCAUCGUUUGACGUUUUAGGAGUGUCCAGACGAGUGUCACGAGGAUACGCAGCGCUCCCAUUCACAUCAAUUUACGACUAAGAAAGAACCUGACGCAGUCUUAUAAUAAUUAGCUUGUAUGCUACCUUGUUUCACUCCUCUGCUUAUGGCUUGAUUCUUUACGCACGCAUAGCCGAGACUCGAACUGAACAUUCUCCCAUUGAUUCACUUACAAAGCGUCCAAAGCAUGUAAAACACCGGCUUGUGGCUGAGAAAAAGAAUGAAGGCGAUAAAAAGAAUGGAGUUGGCGUAUGUGUGGGUAUUAAAUAGCCGAUAAUUAUUUCUUAUAUCUAGUCUGCAAAUCUUAUGAUAAGGAUGACCGAUAAAAAUUUUUGUCCAGUUAUGUAUAAACUUCACUGUUUAUUUAAAAUUACAA